rnacentral:rRNA from 1 species
GCUUACAGAAAUACCACGUUCAAUGAACGACAUCCCGUCCCAUCUGUCAAGUUAAGCGACGUUGAGCCUCGUUAGUGUGCAUCCCGUCCGAUCUGUGAAGUUAGUGUUUGGAUCGGAGACGACGUGGGAAUCCCAGAUGCUGUAAGCG